ensembl:lncRNA
CUCCGGCCCCGCGGGUGGCGGCCCGGUGCGCCCCGUGCUGCCCAUCCAGCACAGCGGCACCGACGCCCUUUAUGAACGCAGCCGAGAGCCUCGCCAACAGGGAUAGCGGAGCAUCUUUCUGUGAGAGGAUGGCAGAGCUAUUUGUCACAUCCCCCAUGGUUGCCCGCCAGAAAUCGAUGCGGCCGCAUUUGCUGUAGGAGCAGCGGGUGCGGCAGAAGCGCUGGGGAUGGGUACGGGAGGGCUCCGGUUCCCGGCACCCCUCUCCUGCCGGAGCCGCGGGGUUUUGGCGCUGCCCCGUUGUCCCUCGGUUUAUCCCGGGCUGAUCAGAGCACAAAUCAUUACAGACAUCGACAGGAGAUGCUGAGAGAAGUUUCCUCUCCGAUGGUUCGAGGCUGAAGGGAACAGCCUCACCCAGAGGGUGGUGACGCACUGAACAUGUUGCCCAAGGAGGCUGUGGAUGCCCCAUCCCUGCAGGCAUUCAAGGCCAGGCUGGAUGUGGCUCUGGGCAGCCUGGGCUGCUGGUUGGCGACCCUGCACAUAGCAGCGGGUUGGAACUGGAUGAGCACUGUGGGCCUUUUCAACACAGGCCAUGCUGUGAUUCUGUGAAAUGUAGCAUUUACAACGAGCACCGGAGCUGAGGACCUUUUUGGGCUGGGGAGUGGAAUCCAGCUGGAGCCUGAGGCAGCCUCCGGACAGAGAGUAAACUUUUGGUAGCAAAUGAACCCAAGCAGGAUUUCGCAAUGUGGUGUAAUUCCCAGAGAUGAGCAGAAAUCUCAGCUGUGUACUCAUUUAAGGGAAAGAAAAAGAACAGAUCUGCCUGUUCUCCCGGGAACAAAUAUGCUGUGGAAUUUGUCAUUAAAUCAAAAGAAAUGUUACUGAGCUAUCCAUCGACUGAAACGAUGGGGAGAAACGUAAGCAAAGCUCUCCUCCCUUCUUUACCCCUUAAUGCUGGAGUAACGUGAGAUAAUGCAGCCUUUAAUGAUGCAAUAAGAAGUGGAACUCCUAAUAGAGAUGUUCUUCUGAUUACAAAACACCUCCAAGUUAUUAACUCGCAUCACUUGG